AUGGUGUUUUCCUGGUCUCGGCGGCCUAUUUGGGAGCUGUUAACUAAGCGGGCGCUCUUAGUUCCCACGGAGACGGUCGCUGUACGAGCAAGCUUAUUCCCAUCUGGAUUUUGGAAAAUGGCUGAAGCUACUUUUUAUCUAGUACCUGCCAAGACCAUCUCCCAAGGGGAUUUUUCGCAGCAACUGGCACACUGCAGCAUUUGCAGGAAAGCUUUCGGUGCGCUGGCGUCGCGGCGUGGGCAGGUCCCUCUGCACCCGGCCACGCUGCAGGCAAGCGGAGCGCUUCUUGGCCAUUUCCAAAGUGAAGGAAAAUGGCUAGUCCGGAUGUCUCCAAGCUCCUCCGUCCAGCCUGUACGUCUCUGCCUCUGUGCUCUUUAUUCAUGUGGAGGACGGGAAGAGAAGCAAUUGCAAGAAGACGCGAUGGACUCGCUGGCCUCCUCCCCGCGUGGGUGCUUCACUGCGCCCCCGCGCACAGGCACGCUGCCGAGCGAGCGCGGCACGUUGCAAGCGACUCGGGCAGUCAGUGAAUUCAUCUGCAAGCUCAAAUGUCAGAAAUUAUUCUUCAAAAAAUGAUAGUUUUUUCCCGCUCUUGUUG
rnacentral:lncRNA from 1 species